AUUGAACGCUGGCGGUAUGCUUAACACAUGCAAGUCGAACGAUGAGAAAGAGCUUGCUCUUUCGAUUAGUGGCGGACGGGUGCGUAACGCGUAGGAAUCUACCUAUUAGUGGGGGACAACUUAGGGAAACUUAAGCUAAUACCGCAUACGCCCUACGGGGGAAAGAAGGGGAUCGCAAGACCUUUUGCUAAUAGACGAGCCUGCGUAGGAUUAGCUAGUUGGUGGGGUAAAAGCUCACCAAGGCGACGAUCCUUAACUGGUUUGAGAGAAUGAUCAGUCACACUGGAACUGAGACACGGUCCAGACUCCUACGGGAGGCAGCAGUGGGGAAUAUUGGACAAUGGGCGAAAGCCUGAUCCAGCAAUACCGCGUGUGUGAAGAAGGCCUUAGGGUUGUAAACUGCUUUAAGUUGGGAGGAAGGGUUGUAGAUUAAUACUCUGCAAUUUUGACGUUACCGACAGAAUAAGCACCGGCUAACUCUGUGCCAGCCGCCGCCGAAA
rnacentral:rRNA from 1 species